GUUUCCGUAGGUGAACCUGCGGAAGGAUCAUUCAUAAUAAGUGUUUUAUGGCACUUUUUUAAAUCCAUAUCCACCUUGUGUGCAAUGUCAGGGUUGAUUUUUCUCUCGAGAGGAUCAACCCCAAACAUCAACUAUAUCUCAACUCUUUGUCUGAAAAAUAUUAUGAAUAAAACAAUUCAAAAUACAACUUUCAACAACGGAUCUCUUGGCUCUC
rnacentral:misc_RNA from 1 species